UACGGGGGGGGCAAGCGUUGUUCGGAAUUACUGGGCGUAAAGGGCUCGUAGGUGGCCAACUAAGUCGGACGUGAAAUCCCUCAGCUUAACUGGGGAACUGCGUCCGAUACUGGAUGGCUUGAGUUCGGGAGAGGGAUGCGGAAUUCCAGGUGUAGCGGUGAAAUGCGUAGAUAUCUGGAGGAACACCGGUGGCGAAGGCGGCAUCCUGGACCGAUACUGACGCUGAGACGCGAAAGCGUGGGGAGCGAACAGG
rnacentral:rRNA from 1 species